rnacentral:lncRNA from 1 species
GAACCAGUGGCGGGGAAGAAAACUUUAUCUUGUUUUUGUUCCUUGUAUACUGAAUUCAUUCCUUUCAGGCAAUUUUGGAAAGGAGAUGACAACUUACCCAUCACGAAAGAAAAUGACACAAUAUCUGACCAGUGCAAACUUGUUGCAAUAAAGAAAGCAGAGCUUGAACCUCAUGGAACAAAACUCAGUGAGGGUUUGGCCAAAGAGGAGGCAGAUGUUUUGAUUCCAGGAAUAACAAGUUGUGCCCUUUCUACCUGUCAGAGAGUAGACCCUGAAGGCACAGAGCCUCAGCCAGUGACACUGGAAGAGACAUUGGACAGUAGUGGACCUUUGUCUCCACCUCUUUUAGAAGCUGGUGAGCCUUUGCCUGUGGAACCAUCCAAGGAGGUUGUUCUUGAACCUUGGGAUGCCAGCGAAGCUGCUGACGGUUUGGUUCCUCAAACUAUACAUGACAGUAAGCCUGAAUCUGUUGAAUCGUCACAGCAUGACACACCUGAGCCUGUGGCAGAAGAAAGUGCUAAUCUUGUGAUGGAAAUUGUAAAGGAACUGCAAGUGGAUGAAGAGGAACAGCAAACUGAGGGUGAGACAGGAGAAAAGACGGAAACUGAGAUGCACCAUGAGAUAGUAAGUGCGGGCUCUGAAACAAAAGAAGAAGAAACGGGAGAAGUUACAGCACCAGCAGCAACAGAAGAGAUAGAAGCUACUAAUAACGAAGAGUGA